AUGUCUGACUUGGAAGAUUGCAGCUUGGACGAAGAGCUCAAGUUCGAGAAUGGCUCCGGCCCGAGGCGAUUUCGGUAUGGCGAACUGGCCGCUGCGACCAACAACUUCUCUGAGGACGGAAAGCUCGGAGAAGGUGGCUUCGGGUCGGUUUACAGGGGGUCCUUAGGCGGCGACCUGGGUUCCAAUGUCGCCGUCAAGAGGAUAUCCAAGAGCUCCCGGCAGGGGAGGAAGGAGUAUGUCUCCGAGGUCACCAUCAUAAGCCGCCUACGACACUGGAACCUGGUCGAGCUCGUCGGCUGGUGCCACAGCAGCGGCGAGCUGCUGCUCGUCUACGAGCUGGUGCCUAACGGCAGCCUUGAUGCCCGCCUCUACAACUUGGGUGGCAGCGUGUUGCCGUGGCCGAGCAGGUACGAGAUCGCGCUGGGGCUUGGCUCGGCACUGCUCUACCUGCAUGUAGAGUGCAAGAAAUGCGUGGUGCACAGGGACGUGAAGCCCAGCAACGUCAUGCUGGACGCGUCCUUGGGCGCCAAGCUCGGCGACUUCGGGCUUGCGAAGCUCCUCGACCACGGGAUCAGCUUGCCCACGGUGGUUCUGGCAGGAACCAUGGGGUACAUGGACCCAGAGUACACGGCCUCCGGCAGAGCAAGCACCGCAUCUGACGUCUAUAGCUUCGGCAUCGUGUUGCUGGAGAUGUGCUGCGGCAGGAGGCCCCGGGACGACUCCGUCAAGCCCUCCCUCCUGGAGUGGGUCUGGGACCUCUACGGCCGGGGCGCAGCUCUGGAGGCUGCUGACAAGCGGCUGGACGGCGACUUGGACCAAGCGCAGAUGCAACGCAUGCUGGUCGUGGGUCUCUGGUGCGCGCACCCCGACCGUGGUGUGCGGCCGUCCAUCAAACAAGCGCUAGGCGUGCUUCAGCUUGAGGCUCCAUUGCCCGUUCUUCCUCCAAAGAUGCCCGUGCCGACAUUCUCCACGAGCGUUGCAGGCCCUGAUGCUGAUGCUGAUGGUUCGACAGGCGGUGCCGGAGUUUAUUCUUCUUCCAUGGGGCGGUGA
rnacentral:rRNA from 1 species